rnacentral:rRNA from 1 species
UACGUAGGGUGCGAGCGUUGUCCGGAAUUAUUGGGCGUAAAGAGCUCGUAGGCGGUGUGUCGCGUCGGCCGUGAAAACUUGCAGCUUAACUGUGGGCGUGCGGUCGAUACGGGCAUCACUGGAGUUCGGCAGGGGAGACUGGAAUUCCUGGUGUAGCGGUGAAAUGCGCAGAUAUCAGGAGGAACACCGGUGGCGAAGGCGGGUCUCUGGGCCGAUACUGACGCUGAGGAGCGAAAGCGUGGGGAGCGAACAGG